rnacentral:ncRNA from 1 species
UGGCCUCAGAUCAGGGAGGAUCACCCGCCGAAUUUAAGCAUAUUAGUAAGCGGAGGAAAAGAAACUAACCAGGAUUUCCUUAGUAGCGGCGAGCGAACAGGAAUAUAGCCCAGCACUGAAUCCCGUUGUUUUAAUCGAUAACGGGAGAUGUGGUGUUCGGGAGGUUCCGCUUUCUCGUCGCGACGACUCCUGUCCAAGUUCGUCUUGAACGGGGCCGUUUUCCCGUAGAGGGUGCCAGGCCCGUAGCGACGGAGGGUCGCGGCGAGAGGGACGCUCCUUAGAGUCGGGUUGCUUGAGAGU